GCCUGCGCGAUGGCGCGUGCCUGUAGUCCCAGCUACUCGAGAGGCUGAGGUGGGAGGAUCGCUUGAGCCGGGAGUUCUGGGCUGUAGUGCGCUAUGGCGAUUGGGUGUCUGCACUAAGUUUGGCAUUAAUAUGGUGACCUCCUGGGAGCGGGGGACCACCAGGUUGCCUAAAAAGGGGUGAACCAGCCCAGGUCAGAAAUGGAGCAGGUCAAAACUCCCGUGCUGAUCAGUAGUAGGAUCGUGCCUGUGAAUAGCCACUCCAGUCUGAGCAACAUAGAGACUUCGUCUCU
rnacentral:SRP_RNA from 1 species